rfam:Cellulomonas sp. Leaf395 contig_3, whole genome shotgun sequence.
GGGCCUCUAGCUCAAUUGGCAGAGCAGCGGACUUUUAAUCCGCGGGUUGUGGGUUCGAUCCCCACGGGGCCCA